GACGUGGCUUAAUCGGAGUAUAUGAGGAAGUCAGGGAGUGAGACCUAAUUUAUAAAUCAAGCAUGUAGAAGGUGAUCAGGUCAUGAGGGUAAAGCCUCAAUCAACAAGACUAGUGAUGUCAGAAGAAGCCAGAAUGGAUGCCCUUACCCAAACCAAACUAUGCCUGCACCCUGACCCCAAACCUGUAGCUUGCAGAACUGUGAGGAAUGAAGGGUUGUUGUUUUAGCUACCCAGUGGACAGUGACUCAGAUGGGAGGGGAACAGAGACGGGAGACAGAGACAGGGAGAAGAAAGGUGGUUUUAUGUUUGUUCGCUGGGCUGGUGAUUGAGCCCACAGCCUCCCACAUCCUAAACAAAUGUUCGUUCACUGAGCUAAAUCCCCAGCAUGAUUUGUGUCAGUGAGAAGAGGCUCCAUCUCUGCAGGUCAACGGAAGUCUUCUGUUAUUAUGGGCCAAGACUUAGUUACGGGAAGAGGCUGUGGGAGAGGAGGGUGCGGAGAGGAAAACAGAAAGGUUUGGGGGAAGUUGGAAAGGUAUGUCCAACUUGAGCGUAUGCAUAGGGCAGUGCGGGAGGUUGAUGAUGAAGAUCCCUGUGGAGCUACGGCCUAAUUGUAAAACUCACACUGGCCUCAAACAUGCAAUCCUCCGGCCUCAGCUUCCUGGGUGCUGGGGAUAAAACCCAGUAGGGCAAACACUCCAGCCACAUUCCCAGCAUCCUAUGUAUGUGUGGUCUUAAUCUUUCACUCAACUAAAUCGUAGCUAAAUCAAGUUUCAAAUGGCUUUCGGAUUCUAAGACACCAUGUAGAACCUUUUAGAAAUGAAAAUUCACGGUGCUGGAGAGGCGGUUUAGUGGUUAGGAGCACACGGUGCUCUGGCAGCAAAUCUGAGGUUUGAGCGCUGAGCGUAAGCUUCAACUGAAGAAGAAAGCCCCAGCAACUGAGCAGAGUCGUGGCCGUGGCUGGGGGAAGCCCCUAUUGAGGAUGCUCGGGCUGCAGAGGCGUCCACAGGAGACCGCAAUCAUUGGCGCAAGCCCUGGAAACUCAUCAACAAUGAGAACAGGAACCUGAGCUGAAGGAUUUGUGACAACGUGGGCAGAACAGAACAGGCAGAUAUUUGCAAACCUCUGCUGAGCAUCGGGACCUGAACUAGAAGACACCUGCAGUAGCUGCCGCUUCUCCACCCGCCUUACACACCACAGAACGUCAUUGGCGCUCUGAGUUUCAAUUAAUGGGCUGAAUGGAUGACCUUUGACCUUUGGAAUUUUAUUUUAUUUUAUUU
rnacentral:lncRNA from 1 species